ensembl:miRNA predicted gene, 23134
GUUGGAGGUGGUCCCUGUCUCCAGGAGCUUACAAUCUAGCUGGGGAGACACAACUAAUGCACACUUAAACCAGUACAAUUAGCGACUA